rnacentral:rRNA from 1 species
UACAGAGGUGGCAAGCGUUGUUCGGAAUUACUGGGCGUAAAGCGCGCGCAGGCGGUUCUUUAAGUCAGGGGUGAAAGCCCAGAGCUCAACUCUGGAAUUGCCUUUGAAACUAGAGAACUUGGGUACGGGAGAGGUGAGUGGAAUUCCGAGUGUAGAGGUGAAAUUCGUAGAUAUUCGGAAGAACACCAGUGGCGAAGGCGGCUCACUGGCCCGUUACCGACGCUCAGGCGCGAAAGCGUGGGGAGCAAACAGG